GAUGGAGACGUAGGUAGAGACCCUUCACUUCCUCAUACAACCAAAAGGAGGAUAACAACCAAUCUGAAAUCAAUGAACAACUAAAAGCACUAGAAAAUCAAACAGCAUGGAAGUCCAACAACAAAGGAAUUAAAGAAAAAAUCAACCAGAACAACCAGACCACUGUGCCAAGACAAAGAAAUAUGGCCCAAAUGAAAAAACAGAGUAAAGCCUCAGAAAGAUAGCUAAGUGAGGAUGAGGUUGCCAACCUAUCUGACAGAGAAUUUAAAGCCCUGCUAAUCAAAAUGUUCAAACAUCUGACUGACCUUAG